rnacentral:rRNA from 2 species
UACGAAGGGGGCUAGCGUUGUUCGGAAUCACUGGGCGUAAAGGGUGCGUAGGCGGGAUCUUAAGUCAGGGGUGAAAUCCCGAGGCUCAACCUCGGAACUGCCUUUGAUACUGGGGUCCUUGAGUCCGGAAGAGGUGAGUGGAACUGCGAGUGUAGAGGUGAAAUUCGUAGAUAUUCGCAAGAACACCGGUGGCGAAGGCGGCUCACUGGUCCGGAACUGACGCUGAGGCACGACAGCGUGGGGAGCAAAC